UACGAGGGGGGCGAGCGUUGUUCGGAAUUAUUGGGCGUAAAGGGUGCGUAGGCGGUUUGAUAAGUCUUGUGUGAAAUCUCUGGGCUCAACCCAGAGUCUGCAUAGGAAACUGUCGGGCUUGAGUAUGGGAGAGGUGAGUGGAAUUUCCGGUGUAGCGGUGAAAUGCGUAGAGAUCGGGAGGAACACCAGUGGCGAAGGCGGCCGGCUGGGGGUGCCCUGACGCUGAGGCGCGAAAGCGUGGGGAGCGAACCGG
rnacentral:rRNA from 1 species